rnacentral:rRNA from 1 species
CCCUGCUCAGGAUGAACGCUAGCGGCAGGCUUAACACAUGCAAGUCGAGGGGUAUAUUUCUUCGGAGAUAGAGACCGGCGCACGGGUGCGUAACGCGUAUGCAAUCUACCUUUUACAGAGGGAUAGCCCAGAGAAAUUUGGAUUAAUACCUCAUAGCAUUGCAGGAUGGCAUCAUUCAGCAAUUAAAGUCACAACGGUAAAAGAUGAGCAUGCGUCCCAUUAGCUAGUUGGUAAGGUAACGGCUUACCAAGGCUACGAUGGGUAGGGGUCCUGAGAGGGAGAUCCCCCACACUGGUACUGAGACACGGACCAGACUCCUACGGGAGGCAGCAGUGAGGAAUAUUGGACAAUGGGCGCAAGCCUGAUCCAGCCAUGCCGCGUGCAGGAUGACGGUCCUAUGGAUUGUAAACUGCUUUUAUACGAGAAGAAACACUACUUCGUGAAGUAGCUUGACGGUAUCGUAAGAAUAAGGAUCGGCUAA